GCGAGCCAUAUCCAGGCCAGGGACUGUAUUUAAUCGGACUGUAUUCUAUGUCGUCUUCUCUGGGGGCCAGGCAGCGCUGGAAUAAAAGCUGAUGCAUCCUGAUCCCAGGGGAGAAUGAGAAGUAGGCUGGGAUAUGCUCCUUUCUCCCCAGUCAGCUCACCAGCCAGAGCUGUUUGUUCACCCAACAUUUCUUAUAAUGCAAUCUGCAACAUUCCACUAUUCUGUUGCUGGUAAUUUUCCGGAAUAAGCUCUGAGAUUCAGGAGCAGAUGGUUCACUGCUGACAAAGGAAGAUUUAGGUGGAGUGCCCCGAAAUGAAUUACCGCUGGAAGGUGGCCCAGAUUCGGGAUGACCCUUCUAGUGGCUGUGCCUCCCCCCGAAACGCCGAGCCGAAUGAUUUCUGCGUACCAAGAAGGGCUAGGUCUGUACCACAGAAUCCAUUUUCCACGUGAAAAUCUUUUCAACAGAAGAGAAUGCAAGUUGUUUUCAAGAGGCUGGGCUCUGCAAGAAUUCCAUGUCAAAUCAAGGCCUGGGCACAAACUGCUGGUGCAGCCCAAGAGAGCCACACAGCACCUCACACCUCAGCCUCCAAUCUUAAAAUAG
rnacentral:lncRNA from 1 species